rnacentral:rRNA from 1 species
UACAGAGGGUGCGAGCGUUGUCCGGAAUCACUGGGCGUAAAGGGCGCGUAGGUGGCCUGAUAAGUAGGGGGUGAAAUCUCGCGGCUCAACUGCGAGGCUGCCUCCUAAACUGUCGGGCUCGAGCAGAGUAGAGGCAGGUGGAAUUCCCGGUGUAGCGGUGGAAUGCGUAGAGAUCGGGAAGAACAUCGGUGGCGAAGGCGGCCUGCUGGGCUCUUGCUGACACUGAGGCGCGACAGCGUGGGGAGCAAACAGG